GGCGAUCCGGGUGGUCCCGGGCUCCGGUUCAUACCCGGAAGUGCAGCGGGUUCGACUCCCGCCGUCGCGUC
rnacentral:tRNA from 1 species